GAUGCAACGCGAAAAACCUUACCUACCCUUGACAUGCCAGGAACUUACCAGAGAUGGUUUGGUGCUCGAAAGAGAGCCUGGACACAGGUGCUGCAUGGCUGUGGUCAUCCCGUGUCGUGAGAUGUUGGGUUAAGUCCCGCAACGAGCGCGACCCUUGUCGUUAAUUGCCAUCAUUAAGUUGGGCACUUUAGCGAGACUACCGGUGACAAACCGGAGGAAGGUGGGGAGGACGUCAAGUCCUCAUGGCCCUUAUAGGUGGGGCUACACACGUCAUUCAAUGGCUGGUACAAAGGGUUGCCAACCCGCGAGGGGGAGCUAAUCCCAUAAAGCCAGUCGUAGUCCGGAUCGCAGUCUGCAACUCGACUGCGUGAAGUCGGAAUCGCUAGUAAUCGUGGAUCAGAAUGUCACGGUGAAUACGUUCCCGGGUCUUGUACACACCGCCCGUCACACCAUGGGAGCGGGUUCUGCCAGAAGUAGUUAGCCUAACCGCAAGGAGGGCGAUUACCACGGCAGGGUUCGUGACUGGGGUGAAGUCGUAACAAGGUAACCGU
rnacentral:rRNA from 1 species